GCCAUGGUGCUCGACGCGCGUGCGUGUGUGCGCGUGUGUGGGUGUGGUGAUGCUUCGUUUACCUGUUUUUAUUAGUUAUAUGUGAAGUCGUACGGAACUCUUCUACUAUAGAUCAAGGAGGAGAUUGUUUUGUGUGACUGCCGCGUGUGCCAGCAGCAGACCAACGUGUGAGGUCGACCCCUUUACCUGUCCUUCGAAACACAGUAAUGACCGCCACUUCACCACGCUGUGAAUACCUCCAGCACACCUGCCUCACCUGUCUGUUGCCGCCACACACCUGAACAACAACGCUGUAUGGCGUCAUCUCCUUCCCUUCCCCGGGCAGCAGAGCGCCAGAGGGAGUCUCCGUCACUGGGGCACAAUGUCUGGUCUGAGAGAGGGCUCCAGUCUCCUCCCAUUUCCAGGAAAGCUCCAUUCGAGUCAGCGGGAGAGAGGUGCCCUUGGUGAAGAGGAGACGGAGAGGGAGGACGAAGGAGAGAUGAGAGCGAAGGAGAGGAGUGGGAGACGGAAUGAGAAGAACAAGGAAGGGAUGCAGAAAUGUGGCCAAGGAUGAAGAGGGUGUAAAAUUUUUUAAGAGAUGGCGUGGAAAGUCAUGAGUAUUGGAGAAAGGAGGUGAGGAGAUGCAGGUGGGAAUAAGAGGAAGGAAUGCAAAAGAUGAGGCGUUUGAGUGUUAGGAGAUGGUUGGGUAUCAUUGAAAGGAGGAAAAAGAUAUUAGAAAGUAUUACACUCUGUACAAACAGUAACACGUCUACCUGAUGGCCUUUGCAGCUUUCCUUAUUUUCUGAUGUUUUCAUGUACUUAUUUACUGGUACUUGGUUGUGAUGACUGAAAUAUUUGUUUAUUUAUUUAUUUAUUUAUUUAUUUAUUUAUUUAUUUAUUUACUUAUUUUUAUAUAGAACUUACCGAGGACAACGAAAGUGCUUAAAAAAUAGCUCACCAGAGUGCCUGUGUACAUAAGUUAGGAUGCAGUUCGCGUUACGUAGGGCUGUCACCGUAAGGGGCUUGUUGUAUAAGUCCAGAAGACAGUCAGAUCCCUAAAGCAACAACUCAUUACACGCGAUGUCCUUGUCUCGAGCAGUGAUUUCACCACCUGAGGAUACGUGAGGAUGUAAACACCUUCACACUCACUGCUGAUUGGCCUGCAUUCUCUUGCCUUGAUAUAAAGCAUGUGGCAAA